UACGUAGGUGACCAGCGUUGUCCGGAUUUACGGGGCGUAAAGAGCGCGCAGGCGGUCGUUCAAGUCGAGGGGGAAAGCCCCCGGCUCAACUGGGGAGGGUCAUUCGAUACUGAUCGACUUGAAGGCAGGAGAGGGAAGCGGAAUUCCCGGUGUAGUGGUGAAAUGCGUAGAUAUCGGGAGGAACACCAGUGGCGAAGGCGACUUCCUGGCCUGUUCUUGACGCUGAGGCGCGAAAGCUAGGGGAGCAAACGGG
rnacentral:rRNA from 1 species